rnacentral:tRNA from 1 species
UGGCUGAGCGGUAAAGCGCUUGGCUUCAGAACUGGUGGUCCUGGGUUCGAAUCCAGG